CCUCACCAUUCAGUCGAAAAUCGCGGCGCCGCUCGACUAUUACUCAGUCACCGUUCUCCCAGCCGCAGCAGCACCACCACCGAUCGUACGUCGCGGCUAUUACAGCCGCCCUCAACCGCGCUCUCCCUUGGACCUGCUCUAACCCUAGCCGCCCUUUCCCUAGGACCAGCUCUCUCUCUAAGCUGUUUUCUAGGACAUGCAUUAUUUGGGUAAAGAUUGGGGGAUAUAUUUUUGUGAUGAUGAUAAUGGGGAUUCUGCAGAUCGGAAAGUUCUCUUAGAGGAGUCAUUGAAAAAGUUGUUACGGUGGUUAACCAAUGUUCAACUCUUCCAAUGUACAAUGGAGUGACUUUUUUAUCAAGAGCUUGAAGAAAAAUUAUGAGUCCUAGAUUAAUUGCAAAUUGUAGAUUAAGUGCUUAGUAAUUUAGACAUUUAAAAUUAUAUGUAGUUAGUAAUUUCAGACUUGUACUUUGAUUUUGUUAAAUAUUUUUUUAUGUAAAGGUUCUGUAUGAUAUUCUUGUUAUAUUUAAUGUGUUGAGUAUUUGAUUUU